rnacentral:tRNA from 1 species
UCCCUGAUGGCUCAAAUGGUAGAGCAUCUGCCUGCAAUGCGGGAGACCUGGGUUCAUUCCCUGGCUCGGGAA